UACGUAGGGGGCAAGCGUUGUCCGGAUUUAUUGGGCGUAAAGAGCGUGUAGGCGGCCUGGAAGGUCAGCUGUGAAAACUCGAGGCUCAACCUCGAGACGUCGGUUGAAACCACCUGGCUAGAGUCCGGAAGAGGAGAGUGGAAUUCCCGGUGUAGCGGUGAAAUGCGCAGAUAUCAGGAAGAACACCCGUGGCGAAGGCGGCUCUCUGGAACGCAACUGACGCUGAGACGCGAAAGCGUGGGGAGCAAACAGG
rnacentral:rRNA from 1 species